CCUACGGGAGGCAGCAGUGGGGAAUAUUGGGCAAUGGGCGCAAGCCUGACCCAGCAACGCCGCGUGAAGGAAGAAGGCUUUCGGGUUGUAAACUUCUUUUCUCAGGGACGAAAAAAGUGACGGUACCUGAGCAAUAAGCCACGGCUAACUACGCGCCAGCAGCCGCGGUAAUACGUAGGUCGCAAGCGUUAUCCGGAUUUACGGGGUGUAAAGGGCGUGUAGGCGGGAAGGCAAGUCAGAUGUGAAAAGCAUGGGCUCAACCUGGGGCCGGCAUUUGAAACUGUUUAUCUAGAGUACUGGAGAGGCAGACGGAAUUCCUGGUGUAGCGGUGAAAUGCGUAGAUAUGAGGAGGAACACCAGUGGCGAAGGCGGUCUGCUGGACAGCAACUGACGCUGAGGCGCGAAAGCGUGGGGAGCAAACAGGAUUAGAUACCCGUGUAGUC
rnacentral:rRNA from 1 species